UACAGAGGUCCCAAGCGUUGUUCGGAUUCAUUGGGCGUAAAGGGUGCGUAGGUGGCGCGCUAAGUCAGGUGUGAAAUUUCGGAGCUUAACUCCGAAACUGCAUUUGAUACUGGCGUGCUUGAGGACUGGAGAGGAGACUGGAAUUCACGGUGUAGCAGUGAAAUGCGUAGAGAUCGUGAGGAAGACCAGUGGCGAAGGCGGGUCUCUGGACAGUUCCUGACACUGAGGCACGAAGGCCAGGGGAGCAAACGGG
rnacentral:rRNA from 2 species